rnacentral:rRNA from 1 species
UUGAACGCUGGCGGCAGGCCUAACACAUGCAAGUCGAGCGCGAAAGGUUUUCGGACUGAGUAAAGCGGCGGACGGGUGAGUAACGCGUGGGAAUCUGCCCAGUAGUGGGGGACAACAGUCGGAAACGACUGCUAAUACCGCAUACGCCCUACGGGGGAAAGGGGGGGAACUUCGGACCUCUCGCUAUUGGAUGAGCCCGCGUCGGAUUAGCUAGUUGGUAGGGUAAAGGCCUACCAAGGCUACGAUCCGUAGCUGGUCUGAGAGGAUGAUCAGUCACACUGGAACUGAGACACGGUCCAGACUCCUACGGGAGGCAGCAGUGGGGAAUAUUGGACAAUGGGGGCAACCCUGAUCCAGCCAUGCCGCGUGUGUGAAGAAGGCCUUAGGGUUGUAAAGCACUUUCAGUGGGGAGAAAGGUUUGUCACCUAAUACGUGAUGAAAUUGAUGUUACCCACAGAAGAAGCACCGGCUAACUCCGUGCCAGCAGCCGCAGUAA